rnacentral:rRNA from 1 species
UGCAGUCGAGCGAACAGACAAGGAGCUUGCUCCUUUGACGUUAGCGGCGGACGGGUGAGUAACACGUGGGUAACCUACCUAUAAGACUGGGAUAACUUCGGGAAACCGGAGCUAAUACCGGAUAAUAUUUCGAACCGCAUGGUUCGAUAGUGAAAGAUGGUUUUGCUAUCACUUAUAGAUGGACCCGCGCCGUAUUAGCUAGUUGGUAAGGUAACGGCUUACCAAGGCGACGAUACGUAGCCGACCUGAGAGGGUGAUCGGCCACACUGGAACUGAGACACGGUCCAGACUCCUACGGGAGGCAGCAGUAGGGAAUCUUCCGCAAUGGGCGAAAGCCUGACGGAGCAACGCCGCGUGAGUGAUGAAGGUCUUCGGAUCGUAAAACUCUGUUAUUAGGGAAGAACAUACGUGUAAGUAACUAUGCACGUCUUGACGGUACCUAAUCAGAAAGCCACGGCUAACUACGUGCCAGCAGCCGCGGUAAUACGUAGGUGGCAAGCGUUAUCCGGAAUUAUUGGGCGUAAAGCGCGCGUAGGCGGUUUUUUAAGUCUGAUGUGAAAGCCCACGGCUCAACCGUGGAGGGUCAUUGGAAACUGGAAAACUUGAGUGCAGAAGAGGAAAGUGGAAUUCCAUGUGUAGCGGUGAAAUGCGCAGAGAUAUGGAGGAACACCAGUGGCGAAGGCGACUUUCUGGUCUGUAACUGACGCUGAUGUGCGAAAGCGUGGGGAUCAAACAGGAUUAGAUACCCUGGUAGUCCACGCCGUAAACGAUGAGUGCUAAGUGUUAGGGGGGUUUCCGCCCCUUAGUGCUGCAGCUAACGCAUUA